rnacentral:rRNA from 1 species
UACGGAGGGUGCAAGCGUUAUCCGGAUUCACUGGGUUUAAAGGGUGCGUAGGUGGGUUGGUAAGUCAGUGGUGAAAUCCCCGAGCUUAACUUGGGAACUGCCAUUGAUACUAUCAGUCUUGAAUACCGUGGAGGUUAGCAGAAUAUGUCAUGUAGCGGUGAAAUGCUUAGAUAUGACAUAGAACACCAAUUGCGAAGGCAGCUGGCUACACGAAUAUUGACACUGAGGCACGAAAGCGUGGGGAGCAAACAGG